CUAAUACAUGCAAGUCGAACGAGUUCUGAUUAUUGAAAGGUGCUUGCAUCUUGAUUUAAUUUUGAACGAGUGGCGGACGGGUGAGUAACACGUGGGUAACCUGCCCUUAAGUGGGGGAUAACAUUUGGAAACAGAUGCUAAUACCGCAUAAAUCCAAGAACCGCAUGGUUCUUGGCUGAAAGAUGGCGUAAGCUAUCGCUUUUGGAUGGACCCGCGGCGUAUUAGCUAGUUGGUGAGGUAACGGCUCACCAAGGCAAUGAUACGUAGCCGAACUGAGAGGUUGAUCGGCCACAUUGGGACUGAGACACGGCCCAAACUCCUACGGGAGGCAGCAGUAGGGAAUCUUCCACAAUGGACGCAAGUCUGAUGGAGCAACGCCGCGUGAGUGAAGAAGGCUUUCGGGUCGUAAAACUCUGUUGUUGGAGAAGAAUGGUCGGCAGAGUAACUGUUGUCGGCGUGACGGUAUCCAACCAGAAAGCCACGGCUAACUACGUGCCAGCAGCCGCGGUAAUACGUAGGUGGCAAGCGUUAUCCGGAUUUAUUGGGCGUAAAGCGAGCGCAGGCGGUUUUUUAAGUCUGAUGUGAAAGCCCUCGGCUUAACCGAGGAAGUGCAUCGGAAACUGGGAAACUUGAGUGCAGAAGAGGACAGUGGAACUCCAUGUGUAGCGGUGAAAUGCGUAGAUAUAUGGAAGAACACCAGUGGCGAAGGCGGCUGUCUGGUCUGUAACUGACGCUGAGGCUCGAAAGCAUGGGUAGCGAACAGGAUUAGAUACCCUGGUAGUCCAUGCCGUAAACGAUGAAUGCUAGGUGUUGGAGGGUUUCCGCCCUUCAGUGCCGCAGCUAACGCAUUAAGCAUUCCGCCUGGGGAGUACGACCGCAAGGUUGAAACUCAAAGGAAUUGACGGGGGCCCGCACAAGCGGUGGAGCAUGUGGUUUAAUUCGAAGCAACGCGAAGAACCUUACCAGGUCUUGACAUCUUUUGAUCACCUGAGAGAUCAGGUUUCCCCUUCGGGGGCAAAAUGACAGGUGGUGCAUGGUUGUCGUCAGCUCGUGUCGUGAGAUGUUGGGUUAAGUCCCGCAACGAGCGCAACCCUUAUGACUAGUUGCCAGCAUUUAGUUGGGCACUCUAGUAAGACUGCCGGUGACAAACCGGAGGAAGGUGGGGAUGACGUCAAAUCAUCAUGCCCCUUAUGACCUGGGCUACACACGUGCUACAAUGGAUGGUACAACGAGUUGCGAGACCGCGAGGUCAAGCUAAUCUCUUAAAGCCAUUCUCAGUUCGGACUGUAGGCUGCAACUCGCCUACACGAAGUCGGAAUCGCUAGUAAUCGCGGAUCAGCACGCCGCGGUGAAUACGUUCCCGGGCCUUGUACACACCGCCCGUCACACCAUGAGAGUUUGUAACACCCGAAGCCGGUGGCGUAACCCUUUUAGG
rnacentral:rRNA from 2 species